rnacentral:lncRNA from 1 species
GCAAGUCAAGAAUAUAACGUUUUGCACCUGAAUUACUUUUGAUUUUCGGAAAUUGAAAUAUUUUACCUUCGCCGAUGACCUCACUUUAUAACUGGAGUGAAAUCUCAGUAAGAAACCCCAGUAAGUAGAANNNNNNNNNNNNNNNNNNNNUGGACUGGACUGGACAGUUGGACUGGACUGGACAGUUGGACUGGACUGGACAGUUGGACUGGACUGGACAGUUGGACUGGACUGGACUGUUGGACUGGACUGAUUUUUACAUUUUCUCUAUUCUUGACUUGCACGUCACCCGCCAUGUCAGAUGGCAUGGCACAAAAGAAUAUUUUAUCACAGAAUAGAUAUACCAUGUCAUGUCUAUUUUGUGAUUUUAUCGAUCGGAAAAUUGUCUGGUGUGUACCAGGAGGAGAUUGGUUGCAAGUCAAGAAUAUAACGUUUUGCACCUGAAUUACUUUUGAUUUUCGGAAAUUGAAAUAUUUUACCUUCGCCGAUGACCUCACUUUAUAACUGGAGUGAAAUCUCAG